UACGUAGGGUGCAAGCGUUAAUCGGAAUUACUGGGCGUAAAGCGUGCGUAGGUGGUUUGUUAAGUCUGCUGUGAAAGCCCUGGGCUCAACCUGGGAAUGGCGGUGGAUACUGGCAAGCUAGAGUGCGGUAGAGGAGGGUGGAAUUCCCGGUGUAGCGGUGAAAUGCGUAGAGAUCGGGAGGAACAUCAGUGGCGAAGGCGGCCCUCUGGACCAGCACUGACGCUGAGGCACGAAAGCGUGGGGAGCAAACAGG
rnacentral:rRNA from 1 species